GUGGCUCUGGCUGAAGAACACCCCUCCCCCUCCCCCCCUGUCUCCACAGCCUGGGCCCUCUGGGCGCCGGGGGCUUCGUGCCUUUCGGCUUCGACGGGAUUCUCCGGGGGACGGCCACGUGUUUCUUUGCCUUCAUCGGCUUUGACUGCAUCGCCACCACGGGUAACGCGGAAAGGGCCCCAGGGGCGGCCACCUCAGGGACGCGCGGGCUGGAGCCCCGGUGCCGCCGCUGGACCCGCGGGCUUCCCCCGCAUCUUUAAUUUUUCAAACAAGCAGAGAUAGACUUUCUUUUCUAUCUACGUGUAAUAAUCUGAAGUACAGAAGGAACAAACAGCUAUCAGGAAUCCUCUCUCGGUAAAUCCGUGCUUGUGGCUGGUGGUCAUCGUAUACAAACCUCAAACUGAGUGAGUAGCUCCUGCUGUCACUGGAGAUACAGUUUUAUUUAUUAUUCCUAUUUUUAGGGAGUGGGUAUCUCCUAUGGGGCGUGAACAAUGAUGUUUGAUUAUUUACUUCCAGACUGUUAAAAGCUCAAAUUCGGUGUAGCCCCUUGUUAGAGCAAAGAAUUUGAACUCGCCUGCCUGUAAACGUUGCUUAUGAUUUGGAGUAGAGAGUCCUGCACCUGUCAGCAGCAUCCCCAGUGCCCUGCCCCAUCCUGUCUCCUGCUCUCAGCAUCAGUACACUGAUAGGUGCUCAGAGACCCAGGUGGGCUGUGAAGAUUCCCUCACCUGGGGCCUGGCCACAGGCAGACUGGUGUUGACUGUGCCUCCCAUUAAUUUUUCUCGUAUGACCUAGUUACAUUUGGCUUUUUUUUUUUUUUAAUCUUCUUUCCCGGAUACAGAGUAAACUUUAAUCUCAUGUUUCUCACUCUGUUCAGUUACAAUUUUCAGUUAUCUGGGGGAAAAAAGAAAUUUUCCUUUUUUAAAAAUGCUAUUUAGUUAGGCAGAGUGAGAGAGAGAGAGAGGAGAGAAAGAAAGAGAAAGAGAGAUUGACUCCCUAAAUGCCCACAAAGUCCAGGACUAAGCUGAGCUAAACCAGGAGGCAGAAACUCAGUCUGGGUCUCCCACAUUGGUGGCAGGGACUCAGCCACUUGAGCCAUCACUGUUGCCUCCCAGGGUGAGCAUUUGCCUGAAGCUGAAGUUAGGAGCCGGGCAGGGAACCCAGGGAUAAGAUACAAGAUGGAAUGUCUUGACUGGUAAGACAAAUACUUGCCCUUUAAAAUAUUUUAUAAUAUUUUAUUUGUCCUUUUCUUGUUCCACAUACAAGAGAACAUGAACAGAUCAGA
rnacentral:lncRNA from 1 species